UUCCUUGUCGGGUAAGUUCCGACCUGCACGAAUGGUGUAACGAUCUGGGCACUGUCUCGGCCAUGAGCUCGGUGAAAUUGUAGUAGCGGUGAAGAUGCCGCUUACUCGCAACGGGACGGAAAGACCCCGUGAACCUUUACUAUAGCUUCACAUUGGUAUUGGGUAAAUGAUGUGUAGGAUAGGCGGGAGACUUUGAAGCAGUGUCGCUAGGCAUUGUGGAGUCGUUGGUGAAAUACCGCCCUUUAUUUAUCUGAUGCCUAAUCCGGAGACGGAGACAGUGUGUGGUGGGUAGUUUGACUGGGG
rnacentral:rRNA from 1 species